rnacentral:lncRNA from 10 species
CUUGGUCACACCCAUGGACUCGGCCUAGUGAUUUUGGGACAGUGAGAUUGGAGGGAGGGAAGGGGCUCACCCCACCCUUUCCACACCCUACUCCCAGUAUGCAUAUUUCUAGAAACCAGGCUUCUGUCCCAGGGGAAAAGAGCUGGCCAUGUCAAGCCUCAGGAACUCUCCUUUGACCCUGAACUGCCAACCUGCCUUCUUCUUUCCUGAUGAUGCCAGCAGAGGGCACCAGGAGCCAGGGAGGAGCUGCGAGAUGUCCUGGCCUCAGUGCUGCAGGGAUGCUGCCCCCAGCCAGCCUCACCUGCAGACGGAACAGGGAGCCGCCUGGCUGGAGCCAUCCCUCAGAGAGCGGUCCCUGCUACCUUGCACAAACCUCCCUCUGAGAUCAGAAGCCCUUUCAUGGAGGGCAGGUCUCAAUUUCCAGUUCUUUUUGGAACAGGAAACAGAGGGACUUGUGUGUAUUUAUACAAAAUUGCAACUGAGAAAGUGGAGGCUCAGAGAGUUUAAGCCACUCGCCUGACACCAUCCAGCUGCUAGGUGACACCAACAGGGUUUGCGCCCUGAUCGGCCUGACUUCAGAGGUGCACUACUGUUCUAUCCGAUUAUAAAUGGUGUGUCUUAGACGGCAGGCUCCCCAGAGAGGGUAGUAGGCCCUCUGAAAGGAUGCAGUGGGGCCUGUCUGCCAGCCUGUCCCCAGCCCCUCUCCCAGCCUCCGCCCAUGCCCUCCUCUCCAGAGGCCGUCUUAUAACCAAAGGACUGAACCUCCCUGACAAUGCCAUCCUGCUCCCAGCCCAGAAAGCCUCUGAAUAGAGUCACCUUCCUCUCCAUUCAGAGGUUUCUUAGCUCUGGAACAAGGAAAAAAUGUAAAUGAUUCCCAGAACAUCGUGUGCAAUGGAGGCACCGGGUUAAUGUUGGAAACCAUGGCUCCAUGAAACCACGGUUUGAUGCUGUGAUCCACUGUUCCCCGAGAGCGAACGCUGGACCACCAGGAUGUGGGUGGCAGAUGUGAUGAUCCUGCAGAUGGGCUGCCACAGUAGGAAAUCCAAGGGCAGCUCCAUCAACAUGCCCCUAGUGCACCCCUGGGCAAGGUUGGGACCGAGGCUGUGUGCUGGGUCUGAGGUCUUAGGAAGCCCUGUCUUCCUUAUGUCUCUCUUCAGGGCACUUUGGGUCUCAGGUGGGUGAAAAAUGAGUUUCAGGUGAAAGAAGUUCUCUGGGCAAACCACUUAAUUCCCAGACACAGGGUGUCAUGUGGAUGCAGUGACCAUCUCCAUUUUACAGAUGGGGAAAUGGAGGUUCAGAGAGGAGAAGGACUUGCUUGAAGUCACACAGGGAGAAGGGUGUGAGCUAGGGGGACCUGUGGCUUCUAAGCGGCUGCUAUUGUUGCUGCCUCCCAGUGUUCACAUACUCGGCAGGGACGAUAACGAGAGCAACUUUUUCCAACCAAGUCACCAUAUGAGUUUCCGGUUGUUGAUUUGACACAUCACCACCAACUCACUAGCUUUAAACCACACACAUUUAUUAUCGUACAGUUCUUUGGGUCAGAAGUCUGAAUGGGAUGAAAUCAAGGUGUUACUGGAAAAAGGGGUCUCCAUCCAGACCCCAAGAGAGGGUUCCUGGAUUUUGUGCAGGAAAGGAAUUCAAGGUGAGUGGAAAAGUGCAGGGAAAGAAGCAAGUUUAUUAGAAACUGCUCCAUUACAAAGUAGAGUGCCCUCAGGAAGCAAGCAGAGGCACGCACCAUCUUUGCUUUAAGUUUUUCUUAUAUAGGGAUCUUGUCUCUGUAAAGACUAAACCAAAGCUGUGCCUAACUGCCAGUGGGCUGACAGCAUGACGUUUAUUACUCUACUGAUUUAAAGGAAGCUAUCCUUGACAUGUUCCUACAUCAGCACAUGAGAGCAUAAUUAUAAUUAUUUUGAAAACCUAUACUGUUAAGGGUAUUGGGACAUCUGGACUUUCUGUUGUUGGAGGAGUGUGUCCUUACAGGCAUUACCAAACUGCUUCCUUAAAUGUAAACAUCUUAGGACCAUGGGUAGUGGCUGGCAAGGAAUGUGCCUUGCUAGUUUUAACAUGGAGUUGAUUUUAUUUAUAUGUAUUUAUUUUUGAGACAGGGUCUCACUCUGUCGCCCCAACUGGAGAGCAGUGGCGCAAUCUCGGCUCACUGCAACCUCCAUCUCCCAGGCUCAAGCGAUUUUCCCGCCUCAGCCUCCAGAGUAGCUGGGAUUACAGGCGCACGCCACCACCACCCGACUAAUUUUUGUACUUUUAGUAGGGAGGGAGUUUCACCAUGUUGACCAGGCUGGUCUUGAACUCCUGACCUCAAAUGAUCCACCCACCCCAGCCUCCCAAAGUGCUGGGAUUACAGGCGUGAGCCACUGCACCCAGCCAAGAUGGAGUUGAUUUUAAAAUGGUGGCACUCUGGCUCUCCUAUGCUUCUGCUUCCCUAACAAAGGUGUUGGCAGAGCUGGUUCCUCCUGAAGGCUCUGGGGGACAAUGCAUUUCCUUGGCUCUGGCUGUGCCGGCUUCUAGGGGGCAAGAAAGGCCAUAUCCCUUGGCUCACAGCUCCUUCCUCCAUCUUCAAAUCCAGCAGCGUGAUGUCCUCAACUCCUUCUCUGACCCUCCUGCCUCCCUCUUAUAAGGACUCUUGUGAUUAGAUUGGGCCCACUUGAACAAUCCAGGAUAACCCCCCCAUCCCCAGGUCCUUAAUCUAAUCACACCUGCAAAGUCCCUUUUGCCCUGCAAAGUAACAUAUGCCAGGACCUAGGGAUUCUGACAGGGAUAGCUUUGGGGGCCAUUAUUCUUCCUACCACAAUCACCCUGUGGGUUAGGAAAAAAGGCCUCAGGCAAGCAACCUGACCAUAGGGCCCAUCAGAGUCCUUGGAGCUUGGCAAGCUUGGUCUCUCAGGUCGUGGGAAGAGGCAGGGAGAGAGCGUGCCCGUUCAGGCAGGGGCUGUGGGACUGAGACUGGCUCGUUGUCCACCAAGACCUACCUCCUUCCUUCCUGGGCUGGCUCUGAGUCUCCAUUGGCAGCCUCUGGUUAGGUUAUGUGGAAAUAAAAUCCUCACGG